UCCGUUGGUGAACCAGCGGAGGGAUCAUUACCGAGUUUACAACUCCCAAACCCCUGUGAACAUACCUAUACGUUGCCUCGGCGGAUCAGCCCGCGCCCUGUAAAAAGGGACGGCCCGCCCGAGGACCCUAAACUCUGUUUUUAGUGGAACUUCUGAGUAAAACAAACAAAUAAAUCAAAACUUUCAACAACGGAUCUCUUGGUUCUGGCAUCGAUGAAGAACGCAGCAAAAUGCGAUAAGUAAUGUGAAUUGCAGAAUUCAGUGAAUCAUCGAAUCUUUGAACGCACAUUGCGCCCGCCAGUAUUCUGGCGGGCAUGCCUGUUCGAGCGUCAUUUCAACCCUCAAGCUCAGCUUGGUGUUGGGACUCGCGGUAACCCGCGUUCCCCAAAUCGAUUGGCGGUCACGUCGAGCUUCCAUAGCGUAGUAAUCAUACACCUCGUUACUGGUAAUCGUCGCGGCCACGCCGUAAAACCCCAACUUCUGAAUGUUGACCUCGGAUCAGGUAGGAAUACCCGCUGAACUUAAGCAUA
rnacentral:rRNA from 1 species